GAUGAACGCUGGCGGCGUGCUUAACACAUGCAAGUCGAACGAAGCACUUUAUCUGAUUUCCUUCGGGACUGAUUAUUUUGUGACUGAGUGGCGGACGGGUGAGUAACUCGUGGGUAACCUGCCUUGUACAGGGGGAUAACAGCUGGAAACGGCUGCUAAUACCGCAUAAGCGCACGGCAUCGCAUGAUGCAGUGUGAAAAACUCCGGUGGUAUAAGAUGGACCCGCGUUGGAUUAGCUAGUUGGUGAGGUAACGGCCCACCAAGGCGACGAUGCAUAGCCGACGUGGGAGGGUGCCUGGCCACAUUGGGACUGCGACGCGGCCCAAGCUCCUACGCGAGGCAGCAGAGGGGACUAUUGCACAAUGGGCGAAGGCCUGAUGCAGCGACGCCGCGUGAGCGAAGAAGUAUGUCGGUAUGUAAAGCUCUAUCAGCAGGGAAGAUAAUGACGGUACCUGACUAAGAAGCACCGGCUAAAUACGUG
rnacentral:rRNA from 1 species